UUGGAUUUGGAGAGUGCCGGCGCGUUCGGCUCCUCUGAAAAGCAUUAGCGAGCGACUCAUGCGUCUGCUUUGGCAUUGAUAAAUCUGUCUAUGCCUCUGGCGGCACGUGUUUGGCGGUUUGCUUACGAGUGGUCCCUUUUCGAGGGACAACGUCACCCAACAAUCACCUCAAAUCAGGUAGGACUACCCGCUGAACUUAA
rnacentral:misc_RNA from 1 species